rnacentral:tRNA from 1 species
GCCGGAGUGGUGGAACUGGUAGACGCGUCGGACUCAAAAUCCGAUGGAUGCAAGUCCGUGGGGGUUCGAUUCCCUUCUCCGGCACCA